GCCAUUUUUAGGGUUCCGUAGCCAAAUGGCAAAAAACGGAACCCUUAUAGAUACAACUAUACUGUUGAAACUUGGUAAGUAGAUGUAUUCUGUGAACCGCAUUAAGAUCUUUACACAAAAAUAGAAAAAAAACAAUAAAUUUUUGGGGCUCCCCAUACUUCGAACUGAAACUCAAAAAUUUUUUUUUCAUCAAACCCAUAUGUGUGGGGUAUCUAUGGAUAGGUCUUCAAAAAUGAUAUUGAGGUUCCUAAUAUCAUUUUUUUCUAAACUGAAUAGUUUGCGCAAGAGACACUUCCAAAGUGGUAAAAUGUGUGUC